GGAGAGGUGCCAGAGUGGCCGAAUGGGGCGGUCUCGAAAACCGCUAUACUCGCAAGGGUAUCGAGGGUUCGAAUCCCUCCCUCUCCG
rnacentral:tRNA from 1 species